CAUCACAUUCCCGUCAGGCGCUAAAUCACCAAAGACGGUCGAGCAUGUUCUUGCCGAACCGCCAUUGCAAUAUGUAUAAGAAAGUGUCAAGCCGCAAUAAUGAAUUGCCGGACCGCAUUACCAAAUUGGCGUACAGGAGAGUGCGUCCAGAAAAAACAUUGCUGGACCGCAACUAAGAACUGCCGGACCGCAACCAAAACAUUCCCAGACCGAAGAGGGCAUCCAGGAGGUCGAAUGUUGAAUCGAGUCAAAACAAAUGUCGGACCGCCAUUGAAAAUUGUCGGACCGCUCUAAAAAAGUGCGGGACUGCAACUGAGAACUGCCGUACCACAAGCAAAACUUUGCUGAGCGGUUUUAGUAUUAGCCGGACAUGAGAGAGAGGGGCGUGGACCUUACCAAAGAGAAAGGGUAUUUGGUGUUCAUUGAUCGGGGGAAUGUGUGAUCUAAAAAAGUAGUUGGGGGAAGUUGUUUAAGAAGUUACAUCUUGGGGUAUACGUUAUUUUUCUUCUUCCUUUUUUUUUAAGAGAUUUAUUUGUUUUUGGCAUUACAUGCUUCUUAGGCUUAAAUGUUCAUCCAAAGAGUAUUUUUGGGAUUCAAAAUUCCAGGGAUGUAACUUCCUCAAACUAACUUAAAACCUCAAGCGUAAAAGAAAGUCAUCUUUGCCCUUCAAAAACAAUGCCUAG
rnacentral:lncRNA from 1 species